UACGAAGGGAGCUAGCGUUGUUCGGAAUCACUGGGCGUAAAGCGCACGUAGGCGGACGUGUCAGUCAGGGGUGAAAUCCCGGAGCUCAACUUCGGAACUGCCUUUGAUACAGCACGUCUUGAGUCCGGAAGAGGUGGGUGGAAUUCCUAGUGUAGAGGUGAAAUUCGUAGAUAUUAGGAAGAACACCGGUGGCGAAGGCGGCCCACUGGUCCGGUACUGACGCUGAGGUGCGAAAGCGUGGGGAGGCAAAC
rnacentral:rRNA from 1 species